UCCUGUUCAAGUUCAAGCAGAACCUUUUCCCGCUCAAAUUUGUCUUCUCCGACUUCAUCCCAUAUAAUCUGCAAGUCAUAUUACAACAAUCUCGAUCCCAUCAGGAGAAUCCUUUGUGAUGAGAUGGAAGACGGGAGGAGAAAAGCUCAAGCCCCGAUUAGAGAGCUACCAGUCGUUUCUUAGAGACGACUAGUAUUGUCUUGCACUGCAAGAGCAGUUUUAAAAACUAGUGAGAUGGAGGGACCAUAGUGAGGUGGGACUUUGGUUUUGGGAGUGAAUAUUUGCUUAAAAGAUAAGUUUUCACUGGUGGGAUGACAGUGAAACUUUAGGUUCAAGGAUUCUUUGUUGCUUUUGAUCUUCAACCUACUUUACUUUCCAGAUUAACUCUACUGUGUUUUGUGUCAACAGAUGAGAUAAUGCUUUGAUUCUCUCAUCACAGUCCAGCUUCUAAUGAUGUGUGAUUUCACCACUUUAUUUUCUUCAAGCAGGCAAAACUCUCAAGAGAAAUAAAAGGGCAAAACAAAUGGUAAUGCACCAUAGAGUUGUGCUAUGAGUGAGAAUCUUGUUAUUGGAUUAUGAUUAUCAUAUGGGAUUACUAGAUCAUGGUCUCGUGCUCUUAACCUUUAUUCUAUAAUCAUGUUUAAUUAUUGCAA